rnacentral:rRNA from 1 species
CUACGGGUGGCAGCAGUCGAGAAUAGUCUACAAUGGGGGAAACCCUGAUAGUGCGACGCCGCGUGAACGAAGAAGCUUUUCGGAGUGUAAAGUUCUUUUCUGUAUGAGCAAUGCUUUAUUGUUUAAGAGAUAAUAGAGAGAGAUAUUAGUACAGGAAUAAGCCACGUCUAACUCCGUGCCAGCAGCCGCGGUAAUACGGGGGUGGCAAGCGUUGUCCGGAUUUACUAGGCGUAAAGGGCAGGUAGGCGGAUAUUCAAGUCAGGCGUUAAAGGCAUCAGCUCAACUGGUGUACGGCGUUUGAAACUGGAUAUCUAGAGUCAGGUAGAGGUAGAUGGAAUUCCUAGUGUAGCGGUGGAAUGCGCAGAGAUUAGGAAGAACACCAAAGGCGAAGGCAAUCUACUGGGCCAUGACUGACGCUAAACUGCGAAGGUGUGGGUAUCAAACAGGAUUAGAUACCCGAGUAGUC